rnacentral:rRNA from 1 species
CACGCAGGCGGUCUGUUAAGUCAGAUGUGAAAUCCCCGGGCUUAACCUGGGAACUGCAUUUGAAACUGGCAGGCUUGAGUCUCGUAGAGGGGGGUAGAAUUCCAGGUGUAGCGGUGAAAUGCGUAGAGAUCUGGAGGAAUACCGGUGGCGAAGGCGGCUUGCUGGGCUUUUACUGACGCUGAGGCUCGAAAGCGUGGGGAGCAAACAGGAUUAGAUACCCUUGUA